rfam:Otolemur garnettii contig088618, whole genome shotgun sequence.
ACAAGUAUAAAUUUACUAAAAAUCAUUAAACUCAUCUGAUCUCAGAAGCUAAGCAGGGUCAGGCCUGGUUAGUACAUGGACGGGAGACCGCCUAGGAAUACCAGCUGUAGGCUUUAA